GGUCAAGCUAAUAAGAGCGCAGGGUGGAUGCCUUGGCACUAAGAGCCGAUGAAAGACGUGAUAAGCUGCGAUAAGCUACGGUGAGGAGCAAAUAUCCUUUGACCCGUAGAUUUCUGAAUGGGGAAACCUGGCUGAGUAACCCUCAGUCACUGUAUACUGAAUACAUAGGUAUGCAGAGGGAACCCGGGGAACUGAAACAUCUAAGUACCC
rnacentral:rRNA from 1 species